rnacentral:rRNA from 1 species
UGAGGAAUAUUGCGCAAUGGGGGAAACCCUGACGCAGCAACGCCGCGUGAGUGAGGAAGGUUUUCGGAUCGUAAAGCUCUGUCGGGUGGGAAGAAAUGUAUGGAGGUUAAUAGCCUUUGUACUUGACGGUACCGCCAAAGGAAGCACCGGCUAACUCCGUGCCAGCAGCCGCGGUAAUACGGGGGGUGCAAGCGUUGUUCGGAAUCAUUGGGCGUAAAGAGCGUGCAGGCGGCUGAGCAAGUCAGAUGUGAAAUCCCUGGGCUUAACCCAGGAAGUGCAUUUGAAACUGUGCAGCUUGAGUAAGGAAGAGGGAAGUGGAAUUCCUGGUGUAGAGGUGAAAUUCGUAGAUAUCAGGAGGAACACCGGUGGCGAAGGCGACUUCCUGGUCCUAUACUGACGCUGAGACGCGAGAGCGUGGGGAGCAAACAG